CACUCUGGAUUAAUAGAGAGAAAAUUAAAAUGCAUGAAAAAGAAAUUAAAAAAAAUGAGAUGCUGGGGGGUAAGCAAGAAAUAAAGGGGGGUGCAGGAAUUAGAAGAAAGACAGAUUGGGCUUGAAUGAGAUCAGGCGCGUGUGGGCCGGUUUAGGACGGUUCAGACCGGUUCAAAGACUGAACCGGUUCGGCCUGAUACUAUAAAUAGGGAUGGUGCCG
rnacentral:lncRNA from 1 species